rnacentral:rRNA from 1 species
AUUGAACGCUGGCGGCAUGCCUUACACAUGCAAGUCGAACGGUAACAGGUCUUCGGAUGCUGACGAGUGGCGAACGGGUGAGUAAUACAUCGGAACGCGCCUAGUAGUGGGGGAUAACUACUCGAAAGAGUGGCUAAUACCGCAUGAGAUCUACGGAUGAAAGCAGGGGAUCGCAAGACCUUGUGCUACUAGAGCGGCCGAUGGCAGAUUAGGUAGUUGGUGGGAUAAAAGCUUACCAAGCCGACGAUCUGUAGCUGGUCUGAGAGGACGAUCAGCCACACUGGGACUGAGACACGGCCCAGACUCCUACGGGAGGCAGCAGUGGGGAAUUUUGGACAAUGGGCGCAAGCCUGAUCCAGCAAUGCCGCGUGCAGGAUGAAGGCCUUCGGGUUGUAAACUGCUUUUGUACGGAACGAAAAGCCCUGGGUUAAUACCCUGGGGUCAUGACGGUACCGUAAGAAUAAGCACCGGCUAGCUACGUGCCAGCCGCCGCAGUAA